UACGGAGGGUGCGAGCGUUGUCCGGAAUCACUGGGCGUAAAGGGCGCGUAGGCGGCCUGGCAAGUCGAUGGUGAAAGCCCGUGGCUCAACUACGGGUCGGCCAUUGAUACUGCUAGGCUCGAGUCGACUAGAGGCAGAUGGAAUUCCGGGUGUAGCGGUGGAAUGCGUAGAGAUCGGGAAGAACAUCAGUGGCGAAGGCGGCCUGCUGGGCUGUUGCUGACGCUGAGGCGCGACAGCGUGGGGAGCAAACAGG
rnacentral:rRNA from 1 species